UUGCCCCUUAAAUGGUACAAAGAUAGAAGGUACAAUUUUGUACCUAUGACUAGAGGUACAAAAUUGUACCCUUCAGGGUACCACCCCGGCGUCGGCCACUUGUACCUUAAAAGGUACAGUUUUGUACGUUUCUUUCUGAGAGUGUAGGAGAAAAAUAUUGAAUAGCUUCAACUGCAACAAGCCUGAAGAUGACAUCUGCACACAACAGAAAUCAUGUUUCUAUGGACUGUGUUAUCUUUUGCCUCCUUUAGGUUUGGCCAUCGGUGGAGGGGGGGCUCUCUCUCUCUCUCUCUCUCGCUCGCUCUUUCUCUGUAAUUUCUCUCUCUCGCAGGUAAUAUUUUACAUUCAUGCUGGGUACAAUUAACUGUUUAUGUUUAACCAUUCUUCAUCUAUUUUGUGGCAGUGGGUGGUAAUAGACUAGAAAUGCACAGUUUUAUACCAUCGUGCUGAUGACGUUUAUUCAAGCCUGAACACUGCAGGGAAACCAAUUUUUACAAUUCCUAGGAAGCUGCAUUAAUCGAGAUGCGCGUGUGCUUGAUAUGACCGACAGCAGGUCUGUCUUUCAGUGUGAGUAUCUCUCGCGGUCUCCGGAUGUAAUAGUUCAUGUGUGACGCAGUGCAUCCUGUAUAGUACUCCCCUAAGCAGUGAACUGCCCGCUUCUCCCUCAGAUUGAUAUCAAUAACGAGGACACGCGCUAGAAUUAAUUCAGAAGGUUUCCGGUGAAGAAUCAUUCUGCUCUCUGCACGCGGUUUUUGGCCAAGGAUUCUCUUAAGCACUGAAUCAUGUUUAACGUCAUCAAUGUGUCAUGUGCAGAGAUUGAGAGCGCAGGGGGGUUUCUGUUUGUGAUUCAGUCUGUUAUACUGAACCAAACACUCAGUGCUGACUGUGAGCAGAGCUGGUAUUCACAGGACAGGCGUCUGAUCGCAGAUCCAUCAAAACCACACAAAGUGAUUGAUCCUGCGACGUCUGUAUCAUCUGAUCAUCUCUUCACUUCUUACUGUGUGAAUCUGAAUCAUGAGAUCAUCUGUGAUUCUGCUGAUGGAUCUCAUUUCAGUCGUGAGACCGUGUUCAGAGUGAGGAAUGAAACUCCAGUGACUCCAGACUCAGAUGUUCUGAAUGAAGUGACUCUCCAGCUCUCAGAUCAUUGGCUGUGGAUUCUGGUUGUUUUUAUUAUUGUAGUCCUUAUCAUCAUCUUGAUCUGUUUCUUGCGGCAGAAAAAGAAACUCGGAUGUUCUCCGAAUGUCUUUCUGCGCCAUGAUUCAGAAAACAGGGAUCCUGAAUCUGGUGUCCANUGUCCAAAUGAAGCUCAGAUCUGAUGAAUCUGAUUCACUGAAUCACUCUGUGCUGAACUGAAUCUCCGUUCAUCGUGACGUUCAUCGCUGAGUUUAGGAGUAAAUAUGAAAAGUGUUGAGAAGAUCCUGACCAUCAUCUGGACAUGGAGCCGCUUAACUCUCAGAUUCAGAUUUUCAGUCUUCAAGUUGGUCUCAACGAAUCAGAAGAGUCAGUUGAUCUUGUGUUCAGAUCAGUGAAACCUCUUUAACUCUCAUUGUUUCAGCUCAUUCACACAGUUUUAAAGUAUUUAUGAGUGAUUUCACUGUGAGGGAAUUGAGCUUUUAAUUCUUGCAGACGAGACUCAUUCCUUGAUCAUGGUUCUGUAUUCUGUGUAAAUAUAAUGCAGCUGCUGAUAUAAUAAAGAGGAGGAAUCUGCUAAAUGCUGUGAUUUU
ensembl:lncRNA